rnacentral:lncRNA from 1 species
UAUCUCAUGGCACAUCGAGUCGAGAGCGGGCAGUUGGAUGUAUACAAGAUUAGGGCACCCUUCGAUUCUCAAUCUACGAAGAGAUGUGGGAUCCUCCUCUGAAAUCGAGAUGCAGAGCUCUUCCAGCCCCUUAAGAUCAUUUAUUUGGAAAUCAGUCAACCUGGGGAAGAUGUCCAAUAUUGAGAAGGACAGCGAGAGAGAAUCACAGGUACUACCAUUGAUUGAUAGAUUUUCGAGAACUGGGUGAUGGCAUCUGAACAACUCAGGUAAAAGAAGGUCCACUUUGGUACAGUCAGAGAUUGAUCGUGAUUUCAACGUAGUGGGUAAACCAACUUUGUACAGGGAUCUAAGAAAACUACAAUCAGAAAUGUACAGAUAAUGUAUGUUGGUUUGCAAGAUUUCCUUCUUUAGAAGAGACUCCACAUAAUCACAUUUUCUAAUUGAGAGACAUUUGAAAUUUCAAUUUCUGAAGUUUGAAGAGCUGUGAAGCCACAAGUUUGUCUUUUCAACCACAAUCUACUGGCAGCAGGAACGUUGAGUGUAGGCACAAGCAGUUGUGGGCAAUUUCCAAGGGAAAGUUCCUUCAAUGAAGGAAGGUGUAUUGGUAAUUCCCCAGUGAAUUUGGGACACCUCCAUAUAGAAAGCUUCUGGAGACGAGGGAAUUCUCCAUGUCUGCCUCCACAACAUAACCAUUUCUCCCAAUUGGACAUAGAGGAAAAUGAUAGAGUUUGCAGGGAUGGGAAGAAGGGAUGAAGCGAGGAAGAAGAAUUCCCAUAAAACUCACUACCCACCGUCACUACUCCUUUCAUUCCAAAGAUCUCUAUAUGUUCAAGACAAGGUAGCUGCCCCAGUGGCGGCAAUAUUAAGUAAUUCCCACAAUACGAAAGCUGAAGGGACAUGAGAUUUGAAAAUGAUCCAUCUCCAAGCCAAUCUGGAAAUGUUAGACCAGGAUAGUGUUGAAUGGACAGUUUUUUUAAAUUUGGAUGAUGUAUUAGCCUGUUGAGAAUAUCAUCUUGUAUAGCAUCAUGACUAAUCCCGCAACUCCAAUUCAAGGAUAACUUAUCAAGGUAUUUCUUAUCCUUCAUAUUUGCUUGCAAUGCAUCCUCAACACCCACCACAUUCUCCAUUUUUGAAAUUUCAAGUCUUCCUCCAAUCUCUAAGAGCUUCCUCAAUUCUCCAAUUCUGAAUCCACUUUUUUGGCCCAUGGUAAAAUUAGACAACUGCUACAAACUUUUUAAUUAAUCUAUAUCAUUUGGCAUUUCUUUCAAUGAAUCAGUCCCAUUAAUAUUAAGAUAGAGCAAAUUAAUCAACUUCCCCAUUUUUAAAGGCAAUUCAAGAAGAAAGAGACAUUUACUCAGCAUCAUUGUUUGUAAAUUGCAUAAACAACAUAUUGAUUCAGGUAAUCUUUCAAUCAUUGUUGUAGAGAGAUCCAAGUAACGCAACUGUUUUAAGUUGUUAUGCGGUAUUCACACAAUGACAACACGCGCAAAGAUUUAAAUUUUGGUAAUAUAUUUUGUAAAACUCUUGUACUCAAUGUAUAAAAAGGAUAGUGCAAUAAUCUCUUCACCUUUAAGACUGUUCUGAGAUGUUUGGCUUCACCAACAGACUCAAAAUUUUCAAAUACAACUUCCCGGUCAUUGUCACUUUUAAAGUAGAGAAAAUGGCGAGCCUUAUCCGAUAUUUUUUGCACCUUAUAAUCUUCCAAUCGAAUGCAAAAUUCUUGGGAGAUAUGUUGAGCCAAGUCAUGUAUUAAAUCAUGCAUUACAAAGCAUGAUUCUUCUCCUCUAAUGCAUUUUUGAAAAAAAGACUUUGCUAAAAGUUCAUUAAAAUAUGAAUCACCUACCUCUUCCAUUCUUCUGUUACUUUGUCCUGAGUGUAAAAGCCCUUGUGCCAUCCAUAAUAGAAUUAGCUUCUCUUUGUGGAAUUCAUAGUCCUUGGGAAAAAUUGAACAGUAAGCAAAACAACGCUUCACAUGUAGAGAAAGAUGCUGAUAACUCAAUCUAAGAGAUGGAAGAAUUUCAUGAUCAGUUUGAGAAUGCCAUGUUUUGCUAUUCAAAAUAUAUUCCCAUUCUCUUCUUUUGGGCUUAGCGUACAAGAGACUCCCGAGUGCUUUUACAGCCAAAGGCAAUCCUUGGCACUUCUUCACAAUCUCUCUGCCUAUGGGUUCAAGCUGAGGAUAAGCGCAGGAGUCUCCAUUGGAAAUGCAAGUUUGGUAAAUAGGGACCAACUAUCUUCAGGGCUUAAUGUUCCCAGCUGAUGAGUAUGGAUUGCACGCAUGACUUUUGCAACAGUUUCGCUACGACUGGUCACAACAAUCUUGCUUCCCUGGGCUGCAGCGAGGAGUGGAGUUCGUAGUCUAUCCCAACUUUCCCAAUCAAGAGACUCCACAUCCCAGACGUCGUCGAGAACCAGCAGAAAUUUCUUGUUGCCAAGGUUGUCUUUGAGUCGACGUUGAAGUAAAUCUAGGCUGUCAUCGGAAGUAGGUCUACAACCGAUCGCCUCAAGAAUUGAUUUGGUUACACCGAUAAGAAGAAACUCAGUGGAAACACAGACCCAUGCUUUCAGGUGGAAGUGUUCCUUCACUCUGUCAUCGUUAUAGAGAAGGUGAGCGAGUGUGGUCUUGCCGCUGCCGCCCAUGCCCACUAUGGACAUCACAUCUAUGACGUUGUUGCCUGUCGUAGUUUCCUUGUCAGAAAGCAACCACAUCACCAUCUCCUCCUUAAUUUCAUCCCUGCCAUACACGAAGGACUCGUCUACCAAAGAAGAGGAUGGUAAUUUUGGUGACAGUCUCUCACCAUCACCUUCUUUCAGCCCAAGCUUCUCUUUUUCUUCAGCGAUAUCUUCAAGCUUAGCAGUCAUCUCCUUCACCCUGGACUCCAUGCUUUGAUUGGAAAAUGGAGCCUUAACCCUGGUAGAGAACUUGUUCCACACCUGAUAAAUUCCACCAGGUUGGGAGUCAGCAACUUCAAUCUCGCACCGCAAGGCUUCGGUAGCGAUCUCGUCCAACAGGUCCUCCGCAUGAUACACAGCAUCCUUAACCUGGAAUAGCCACUCUUUGACUAGUGGGUCUGAAAUUUGCUUCAUCUCCGCAUCAUUGAGCACUUUGUGGACAACCAGCAAUUUCCUCUUCAAUUUGUUGAGGAGUUCAUGGCUAAGCUUCUGUCCCCGGAUGAAGUUCAUCAACUCCGGAGAAGCCAACCUGUCGAAUAGAACUUGAAGUGAAGCGGAGAGGAGUACACCCAGGCACAAAUAUCUAAAGCCGUAUUUUCAAAAAAAUUUGGUUACCAACCAAGAAAUACCAUGUGGUUUUGGCCUCUUAAAUAUUCAAUCACAAGUACAUUCUAUAUGAUUUUAAGCUACUAGAGAAGUAUGAAAAAGAAAAUUAUGAGAAUGUCAACCAGUGUGGAAACUAAUUUCCUCAAGUAACUUCUCUCAAUAUCCUUUUCCUUUGUGACAAUAUUAAAGACCUAUGGUUACAAGUUUCAACUUAAUUUUUGUCUCCGGACUUACCAUGCGAACAUACUUGAGUCUGAUUGUAACUCAACCCAACCAAGCAAGGGCCAUCCAUAGUUGAUACCAUUGACGUUGGUUGAUGGAAUUGAGUCACAAGCUAGUCCAGCUUGACUAAAAGUCAAGUAUACUCUCAAAACGAACUUUCUUGAGAUUGAGAACAAACCUUGUAUCAUAAAAAGUUCAGAAGAAUAAAUCCGGAGAAUAUUUAAUAUAGUCAACAACGAACUCUUCUUCUUCAUAAGAGCUGGUGAAUUAGCUCAUAAUGUAGAAGAGUAAAUUUUCUAAAGCAUGAAGAUGGGGAAUAAGCUCAAAAUCAUCAUUUCUAUACAAUAUCAAAAAGUUCAAUGAGAGAAUUGUACUCAACUACUUUAAGAUGAUAACAACAUCAAAAUAAAAAACAGAACCGCAAAAGUCUUAUAGUCAAGACAAUUUAAUUACAAUAUUCGUCGUGGGAAUUUUGCGGUAUAGACCUUCAUUCAGACUUGGACUUUUUAAUGUUCUUUAUGAAUAAACAAUUGGCUCCUGCUCAAAUGAAAAAUGAGAACCAAUGCUUAUAGUCACAGACAGAAGUGUAUGUACGCAUGGCAAUGCCAAAUUUGCAAAUGAUCAUUUGGUCAUAGUCAAGACCAAGAAAAUCCAAAACAAGAACAAUAGAAACAUGUGUACCAACUACAUAACAAAGAAAUGUGUCAAUCUGCUCACCUUUUGAAGGUUGUCCACUGGGUUAGUGCAAAAUAGACUGACUUUUUUUAUAGGGGCCCUCAAUCAGUGCUGGAUGCUGAACCAGAAGAGAGUUUAGAUACUAAAAAAUUCUAUAAAUUUAAUACCAUAAAAUACCUCACAUAAAAAUGUUGCUUUUGGAACUGUAGUUUUCCAAAUGUUCCCAAAUUUAAAAAUACAUUGGCAUAAAGUUAUUGAUGUUUACCUCAUAUUUUUUUCCAUGGUCAUAUCAAACAUUGUUCUCAUAGUAAGUCUUCUAUAUGCUGAUCCUUGUUACUUAAUAUGAGACACAGAAAAGAAAAAGUAGUGAUCAAUUUAUUUUGAUAUCAAAGGGAGCAAAGUCAUAACAUGUACAUUACAUAUGUAGCCAACUAAAUACAUAUUAUGAUGUGGGUAAGAUUCAAUACAUAUUUCAAUAACCAUGAAUUACCUAAAAAUGUAUCCACAUGUUCUUACAAGGGAUAAACACACAAGUAGCUAAAAGUCAUCUCUGCCCAUUCCGAAAGGUAAAUUGAUGGUGUCAUGAAAAUAUGAUAAAUGACUUCUUUAAAAUAUGAAUUAUCAUGGAUCAAUCUUUCUUUACUUCAUUAGAAAAUUCUUAAAAAGAAAAAAAGAAAAAAAAAAAAAGAAAGACAGGAUUGAGCAUGCUACAUAACCAAAUUCCCAAUAAGAAGACUAGAAAAUGAGUUAUGGAGACAUGCAAUUGUAGAGAUUGUUAGAAAUUUUGAAACAUGAGUACUUGGGCAGCUACUUUAUGAAUUGGAACUUAACUUUUCUAAAGAAAAUAGGUUUAAGCAUAGAACAAAUUACCUAACUGUAUAUUAAUGCAGUACCACUUUCAUUAAAAUAGCAGACCAUUGAUCACUAUUUUUGGAGUUGAGAGAGGGCAAUUGCAUAUAUACAAGAUCAUGGGAUUAUGUUCCCUCUGGAACUCGAUUUUGUUUAUCAAUAGCCCGUGUACCACAUUCUUUUCUGCUCCCCCUUCAUCUGCUUGGCAACAGGGCAAUUGAAAAAAAUUUCGUCUUUAGAAUCUGUACCCAAGAAAGAAUACCCAUACAGGAAACAAUCUGGACAACCUCCCAUCUUCAUCAAGCAAUACAAUGGUUGUUAAAUCCACAAAUCCCACUACCAUGGCUACUGGUGUCUAUGCUGCGAAUGUCAUCAGAAAUUUCCUACACGACAGACCAAGAAGAAGUAUUUGUUUUUAAAAUCAGAAGCUUCUAUAUAUAAGUAAAGCAUCUUAUACAAAGAGUAUAGAUUUAACUUGUGUCUUUAAAACUUACAUUUUAAAAAAUUUUAAAAUUUGAGAGAAUAAGAGCUUGUUGGACAAAGUUUUAAAAAAUAAUUUUUCAUUUUUAAAAAUGGAAAACAGUUUUAAAAAAUUAAUAACAUUGUUUGGUUAUUCUUCUCUAUUUCCCGUUUUUAAAAACAAAGUAAAAUAAAGAAUAUCUUCUAGAAAACAAGUAAAAGUUAUUUUCAUCUGUUUUUUAAAAUAAUAGAAAAACACAUGCAUUCUAUUAUUUAUCUUCUACAUAAAAUUAUCAUUUGUCAAUUAAAAUUAUCAUUUGUUUUUAAAAAAAUUGUUUCAUAAUGAAAAAAAAAUUAUUUAUCUUUAACUAAUAUAUAAUUGUGUAUUUAAUUUUUAUUUUUUUAAUAAGACUUAACUUGAAUUUGAUUUCAUAUUAUUAUAAAUUAAUUUUAUAAAAUAAAAAUAAUCCAUUGUUUUAAAUUUGAAAACAAUUUUUAAAAAUAAAUUUUAAAAAACACCACCAAAUGAGCCCUAAAUUUUUUUUGAUACCUUCAUUGUUUUAAACAGUUUUUAAAAUUAUUAAAUUUUCAAUGUAAGCCUUUAAGAGUUAAAAUACAAAAGUUACUGUCACUUAAUUUUAGGCUUAACAAUGUAGGAGAUUUAAGUGGAGGCAAGGAAUUAAGCAGAUAUAUUCUUGAGAUUAGAAAUUUGGGUGGAACAUAAAUUUUGUAAAGAAAAUAAGUUUAAGCACACAAAAAUUACCUGCCCAUGUGUUGGUGCAGUGCCACUUCCAUUAAAAUAGCUCACCAUCGAUCACUAUUUUUGGAAUGUGAGAUAUAUAACGCCAUUCUUGCCCUUUCUCAAAUCGGAGCUGUUGUUUCAGUAAAGGACACCUGCUGACAUACAGAUAAGAGAGGGAGUCUGGUAGUCUCUCUUUUGUCAAGUAUUGGAGCUUAGGGCAAUUGAAGAGAAUUAAGUUUUCAAGAGUGGUGACGUGGUGAAGACCCGCUUCUGUCAAGGAUUAGAGACUUUUGCACGAGUAGAUUCUUAAUUCCUUGAGAGAGAUAAGGCGUUGAAGAACAGAUCUUGUCGAGAAUUGAAGCUCAGGGCAGUUCUCGAUGUGUAAUUGUAGAAGAGAGGUGAGUUGUUGAAGCCCCUUGUUGUCAAGAGACUUGAGAUUUGGAAGACUAUAGAUUGAAAGAUAAGUUAGAGAAGAGGGCAGCAGACACUCCUUGGAAAAUAAUUCCACUCCUUCACAUCCACCUUGGAUUAUGAAACGAGUAAGAGAGGUCAGUUUUUGCAAAUCCCAGUCCACCUGUGACGUGAGUUGGUUGCAGCGCACUAUUGCAAGUUCCCGUAGGUUGGAAGGCAAACCCUCUCUGUGCAACAACAAUUCGGGACAAUCCUCUAAACCCAGUUUCUGCAGAGAUGAAUGGGUGUGCGCCAGCAAUCUGAGCUUGGAGCAAUUGCGAAUCUCAUGGUAUAUCGAGUCGAGAGUGGGCAGUUGGAUGUAUACAAGAUUAGGGCACCGAUGGAUCUUCAAAUUACGAAGAGAUGUGGGAUCUCCCUCUGAAAUCGAGAUGCAGAGCUCCUCAAGCCCCUUAAGACCAUUUAUUUCGAAAUCAGUCAACCUGGGGAAGAUGUUCAAUAUUGAGAAGGACAACAAGAGAGAAUCACAGGUACCGCCAUUGAUUGAUAGAUUUUCAAGAACCGGGUGAUGGCAUCUGAACAACUUAGGUAGAAGAAGGUCCAAUUUGGUACAAUCAGAGAUUGAUAACGAUUUCAAUGUACUGGGUAAGCCAACUUU